rnacentral:rRNA from 1 species
UUAAGCGACUAAGCGUACACGGUGGAUGCCCUGGCAGUCAGAGGCGAUGAAGGACGUGCUAAUCUGCGAAAAGCGUCGGUAAGGUGAUAUGAACCGUUAUAACCGGCGAUGUCCGAAUGGGGAAACCCAGUGCAAUUCGUUGCACUAUCGUUAACUGAAUACAUAGGUUAACGAGGCGAACCGGGGGAACUGAAACAUCUAAGUACCCCGAGGAAAAGAAAUCAACCGAGAUUCCCCCAGUAGCGGCGAGCGAACGGGGAGCAGCCCAGAGUCUGAAUCAGCUUGUGUGUUAGUGGAACGGUCUGGAAAGUCCGACGGUACAGGGUGAUAGUCCCGUACACCAAAAUGCACAGGUUGUGAACUCGAAGAGUAGGGCGGGACACGUGGUAUCCUGUCUGAAUAUGGGGGGACCAUCCUCCAAGGCUAAAUACUCCUGACUGACCGAUAGUGAACCAGUACCGUGAGGGAAAGGCGAAAAGAACCCCGGCGAGGGGAGUGAAAAAGAACCUGAAACCGUGUACGUACAAGCAGUGGGAGCACCUUCGGGUGUGACUGCGUACCUUUUGUAUAAUGGGUCAGCGACUUAUAUUCUGUAGCAAGGUUAACCGUAUAGGGGAGCCGCAGGGAAACCGAGUCUUAACUGGGCGUUAAGUUGCAGGGUAUAGACCCGAAACCCGGUGAUCUAGCCAUGGGCAGGUUGAAGGUUGGGUAACACUAACUGGAGGACCGAACCGACUAAUGUUGAAAAAUUAGCGGAUGACUUGUGGCUGGGGGUGAAAGGCCAAUCAAACCGGGAGAUAGCUGGUUCUCCCCGAAAGCUAUUUAGGUAGCGCCUCGUGAAUUCAUCUUCGGGGGUAGAGCACUGUUUCGGCUAGGGGGUCAUCCCGACUUACCAACCCGAUGCAAACUACGAAUACCGAAGAAUGUUAUCACGGGAGACACACGGCGGGUGCUAACGUCCGUCGUGAAGAGGGAAACAACCCAGACCGCCAGCUAAGGUCCCAAAGUCAUGGUUAAGUGGGAAACGAUGUGGGAAGGCACAGACAGCCAGGAUGUUGGCUUAGAAGCAGCCAUCAUUUAAAGAAAGCGUAAUAGCUCACUGGUCGAGUCGGCCUGCGCGGAAGAUGUAACGGGGCUAAACCAUGCACCGAAGCUGCGGCAGCGACACUAUGUGUUGUUGGGUAGGGGAGCGUUCUGUAAGCCUGCGAAGGUGNUGCUGGAGGUAUCAGAAGUGCGAAUGCUGACAUAAGUAACGAUAAAGCGGGUGAAAAGCCCGCUCGCCGGAAGACCAAGGGUUCCUGUCCAACGUUAAUCGGGGCAGGGUGAGUCGACCCCUAAGACGAGGCCGAAAGGCGUAGUCGAUGGGAAACAGGUUAAUAUUCCUGUACUUGGUGUUACUGCGAAGGGGGGACGGAGAAGGCUAUGUUAGCCGGGCGACGGUUGUCCCGGUUUAAGCAUGUAGGCUGGUUGUCCAGGCAAAUCCGGAUAAUCAAGGCUGAGGUGUGAUGACGAGGCACUACGGUGCUGAAGUAACAAAUGCCCUGCUUCCAGGAAAAGCCUCUAAGCAUCAGGUAACAUUAAAUCGUACCCCAAACCGACACAGGUGGUCAGGUAGAGAAUACCAAGGCGCUUGAGAGAACUCGGGUGAAGGAACUAGGCAAAAUGGUGCCGUAACUUCGGGAGAAGGCACGCUGGUGUGUAGGUGAAGNUGGAGCUGAGACCAGUCGAAGAUACCAGCUGGCUGCAACUGUUUAUUAAAAACACAGCACUGUGCAAACACGAAAGUGGACGUAUACGGUGUGACGCCUGCCCGGUGCCGGAAGGUUAAUUGAUGGGGUUAUCCGUAAGGAGAAGCUCUUGAUCGAAGCCCCGGUAAACGGCGGCCGUAACUAUAACGGUCCUAAGGUAGCGAAAUUCCUUGUCGGGUAAGUUCCGACCUGCACGAAUGGCGUAAUGAUGGCCAGGCUGUCUCCACCCGAGACUCAGUGAAAUUGAACUCGCUGUGAAGAUGCAGUGUACCCGCGGCAAGACGGAAAGACCCCGUGAACCUUUACUAUAGCUUGACACUGAACAUUGAGCCUUGAUGUGUAGGAUAGGUGGGAGGCUUUGAAGCGUGGACGCCAGUCUGCGUGGAGCCAACCUUGAAAUACCACCCUUUAAUGUUUGAUGUUCUAACGUUGGCCCCUUACCGGGGUUGCGGACAGUGUCUGGUGGGUAGUUUGACUGGGGCGGUCUCCUCCCAAAGCGUAACGGAGGAGCACGAAGGUUAGCUAAUCCUGGUCGGACAUCAGGAGGUUAGUGCAAUGGCAUAAGCUAGCUUGACUGCGAGCGUGACGGCGCGAGCAGGUGCGAAAGCAGGUCAUAGUGAUCCGGUGGUUCUGAAUGGAAGGGCCAUCGCUCAACGGAUAAAAGGUACUCCGGGGAUAACAGGCUGAUACCGCCCAAGAGUUCAUAUCGACGGCGGUGUUUGGCACCUCGAUGUCGGCUCAUCACAUCCUGGGGCUGAAGUAGGUCCCAAGGGUAUGGCUGUUCGCCAUUUAAAGUGGUACGCGAGCUGGGUUUAGAACGUCGUGAGACAGUUCGGUCCCUAUCUGCCGUGGGCGCUGGAGAAUUGAGGGGGGCUGCUCCUAGUACGAGAGGACCGGAGUGGACGCAUCACUGGUGUUCGGGUUGUCAUGCCAAUGGCACUGCCCGGUAGCUAAAUGCGGAAGAGAUAAGUGCUGAAAGCAUCUAAGCACGAAACUUGCCCCGAGAUGAGUUCUCCCUGAGACUUUAAGUCUCCUGAAGGAACGUUGAAGACGACGACGUUGAUAGGCCGGGUGUGUAAGCGCAGCGAUGCGUUGAGCUAACCGGUACUAAUGAACCGUGAGGCUUAACCUU